UGAAUUGUAAGGGUCAUAGCCUCUUUCAUUAAUAGAUAGAAAUACCAAUAUUCCGACAUACAAUUAUGAAAAAUAUCAUUUCAGAAAUUUGAGUCAAAAGCAAUCCUUAUAUGACCAAUGGACUUGAUCAUAUCUAUUUGGAAAACGAGACAACUAGAAAACAUAAUAUUUAUUUAUCUUCAAUCGAGGGACACCAUCAUUGUUUGAAUGGAUACCAUUCUUCAUCAGCUCUUACACUCCUUCCUGAUACUUGAUACUUCUAUAUAUCACGAUGGACCAUGAAUCCUACAAAAUGUUGAGUAGUUUAUGGAAGUCAGCCGUUGUGAAUAAAUUGGCACAAAGUGUAAUAACAUAUAAAAUCAAUGUAUAAUAACAACUUACUUGAUCAUGUUGGCUUUCAUGAGAACUAUCACUUAGAGAACUACCAGACACAAGUCACUUAAUUUCAGAAACUUCUUACACCAUGCCAUUGAACUUUUCUUCGAGUUAAACUAUGGUCUUAGUUUGUGUCUGGAGCACCAACAAUAAGUUACUUCUAUCUCUAAGUAGGAAUUGUACACUUGUUGUUGGAGCACCAACAGUAAGUUACUUCUAUCUCUAAGUAGGAAUUAUACACUUGUUGUUCAUUAUUGAAGUUAUUACAGUUAAAUUAAGUCUUACGUGUUUGGCGGAGGUUGUACAAUCAACAAAGGUUGUACCCUUCUUGUGUGUCUUAGAAAAUAGACUAUCCAUACUGAUCUUAUAUUAUUGGAAUAAAAACAGCAGAAGUUAAAUUGUGUACCAAUUCCCAAAUUAUCUAUCUAGAAGGUUUACUACUAGAUCAAAUAAAGAGGCAACAUGAGAACUGACCAAAAACUCCUUGCAAGGCCAUGGUUGCCCCACACUUCUUCACUUUCUAGAUUUUUAUUACCUAUUAAUUCAUCUACACCAUUUGCAGUGUUUGAAAAUAUACAACCAAUCAGCCAGCACAGUACAUGAAUUAAAGAUGAAAUAAAUACAUUUUACAUACCAUAAAAUUCAUCCAUUGAAUUUCCCAUGUCACUUUCAUUGCUGGCAUCAACUUGAUCAUUCAUAGCUGCAAUAUAUUAUGAUUUACUUGAAGACAAUAAAGCAUAGAAACAAUUCUUGGUUCAGUACGUGAUACUUACAAACUCACUUUUGGAAUCACCUGCAUCCCAAUUUGUACUAAACAUGAUUGGUGUAUUUGUUAGCGCAUCGUUUCCAUCUAUGAAAACAAUUAACCACAUUAUAUCAUUGAUUAUAAGAUAGCUGAAUAAUAUUUUUAUGUUUACAUAGUACCUUUUGUAGGUAACUUGUAUUUUUUCACAGUUCCGCAUCUUGCAUUUGAGCCUGUGGGUAACCCUUUUCUGCUGAAAUCUGCUAAUUGACUUGAUUUCUCCAUGAAGGUCCGCCUAGCAAUGCCUUUGUGUACCAGUCCAGACUUAUUCAUCUGUGAAAGCAUCUUUCCCAAGCUAAUGUUGUCAAGUUUCCAUACCUAUGAUGACUCACUGUGAUAACAUGUGUGUGUGUGUGUCUAUAUAUAUAGCGUUUGGUUGAAGUGUGCACAAAGGCUAUACAAAGUACAAUUUAAGUUAAAUGAGUGAAUGCUAAAUCAAAUAAAG
rnacentral:lncRNA from 1 species